rnacentral:misc_RNA from 1 species
GAAGUGCGAUAAGCAAUGCGAAUUGCAGAAUUCCGCGAGUCAUCAGAUCUUUGAACGCAAAUGGCGCCGGAGGGAUAUCCUUCUGGCAUGUCUGUUUCAGUGUCUGAGAGGUUUCAUCAUCACCUUAAUGUGAUUGACUUACAUGCGAGUCGCAAGGCAAGCAUGUUGUCUCUCAUGAAAGAUGCGCGAGUGGAUCUUUCGGUCCAAUGAAGUGGUCACAUCACUCGUAUGUGAUUUCAUUGGGAGCACCGAAUUAUCCGCCAUACUCGCGGUGACACUAAGGAGUGAUUUGACGAUCAUUCGAAAAAUCACUCUGUUUCUCUCUACACCCUGCAUCUGAGACAGGCAAGAUCACCCGCUGAACUUAA